rnacentral:rRNA from 1 species
GACGAACGCUGGCGGCGUGCCUAAUACAUGCAAGUCGAACGCAGUGGGGACGGGUGAGUAACACGUGGGUAACCUCCCAUCAGAGGGGAUAACUCUUGGAAACAGGUGCUAAACCGAUACUGAUGGAUGAACCCGCGGUGCAUUAGCUAGUUGGUGAGAUAACGGCUCACCAAGGCCACGAUGCAUAGCCGACCUGAGAGGGUGAUCGGCCACACUGGAACUGAGACACGGCCCAGACUCCUACGGGAGGCAGCAGUAGGGAAUCUUCGGCAAUGGGCGAAAGUCUGAUCGAGCCAUGCCGCGUGAGUGAAGAAGGUUUUCGGAUCGUAAAGCUCUUUUGUUAGAGAAGCGGUAUCUAACCAGAAAGCCACGGCUAACUACGUGCCAGCAGCCGCGGUAAUAC